UCAUGCCUACGGGACGCAGCAGUGGGGAAUAUUGCACAAUGGGGGGAACCCUGAUGCAGCGACGCCGCGUGAGUGAAGAAGUAUUUCGGUAUGUAAACUUCUAUCAGCAGGGAAGAAAAUGACGGUACCUGACUAAGAAGCCCCGGCUAACUACGUGCCAGCAGCCGCGGUAAUACGUAGGGGGCAAGCGUUAUCCGGAUUUACUGGGUGUAAAGGGAGCGUAGGCGGUUUAGCAAGUCAGAAGUGAAAGCCCGGGGCUCAACUCCGGGACUGCUUUUGAUACUGUUGAACUUGAUUGCAGGAGG
rnacentral:rRNA from 1 species